rnacentral:rRNA from 1 species
CUUCUGAAGUUGACCU